ACAGUUCACUAGUUCAGACUGAGUUCAGACAGUCAGACUUCAGCCGCUUUGCCUCUUUGCAGUUGCCGACGUUUCUAAUUAAUUUCAUAACCGCAAAUGGCAAUGUUGCGAUCCUUUCAAGAUGGCUGCCGGCAUUCAUCUAAGAGUGACAGCACGCCCGGAGUGUGGGUUCUCGCCUUCUGGCGGCUGGUAGAAUGUAUUUUCGAUUUUUAUGUUUUUGCUGUGCUGAAAGAGUGAAAGGAGAAAGGUAAUGAAGAACUGCCACCAUAUCACCACUAUGGAAGAUUGAGAAAGGCUAAGCAAGCAGCCAUAAUGUUGCACCACAAUCACCCAUAAACAAGUUUCAACGAACUUUGGUAUUUACCAUGGGGUGGUCUGAAGGACAUGGAAUAGCAACCAGUUUCUACCCAUAUUUAAUUUCCAUUACUUAAAUGAAGUGUAGGUCAAAGGUUCCAGUCCUCAAGUCGACAGUCUGUUACACUGGAGAUGACAUCACUAGCAUGAUUUCUGUCACCCACCCUGCCGGCCAGUUCUCCUUUUAAUUGUGUAUCUGAAGUAGUGAUAAAGUUUUAUUGAAAAUCUUUGGCUGCCAAUCCCUGCAGUUUCCGCCUCUCAAUAGGAAGCAUACAACAAUCUUCCAAUGACAGUUAAUUUCAGCACAGUAUUAACAACAAAGAAGAAGUUCCAGUUAUUCUUCAAUAUUUAUCAUGCUAUUAUAAAAGUUUAUGUUCCCGUAGUCGUUAUACUGGUGAAAGAUUUUUUGCGUCGAAUUAUGCUGUUGCUGUUCCUUGGUGCCGGACUGCUGGUGUUGUGCACAAAAGUUACAUCCAGUUUUAAUUGUUAUUUGUGUCUAUGCAGUUAACCGUUUACAUGUUGAAAAGGAACGGAAAAUUUCCGUGGUUUUGAAUCGCUGGUGUUGUGCUUCAUCAUAAGUUACAUCCAGUCUUUGGUUUAAUUGCUAUUUGCGUCUAUGAAGUUAACCGUUUAUAUGUUGGAAUGAAAAAAAUGCUAAUACGGGGAAUCUUAACGUUGAACAAAUAAUAAACAUGCCUUCGCGAUUGGGAAACCAGCGAGGAGGAUAUUGGGGGGGGGGGUCAAAAGAUUUUCGUUAACCAGAAGAAGUCGUGGUUUGUUUUAAUAAGGUAAAAAUAAAAUCGUUGUCUAUCACAUCCAUAUACCUACCUAUAUAACCACAUCUAUUCCUAACACCCCGUAACUUCCACCAACAUCCAUUCCUUAAAUCCCCAUUUCCCCACAGAUACCAAAUAUCUGUAAUAUGUAAAAUUAUUGAUAAAUAAAUAAACAAAUUAA
rnacentral:lncRNA from 1 species